GAUCAUGGCUCAGGACGAACGCUGGCGGCGUGCCUAACACAUGCAAGUCGAACGGAACUGUUUUGAAAGAUUUCUUCGGAAUGAAUUUGAUUUAGUUUAGUGGCGGACGGGUGAGUAACGCGUGAGUAACCUGCCUUCAAGAGGGGGGAUAACAUUCUGAAAAGAAUGCUAAUACCGAAUGACAUAUCGGAACCACAUGAUUUUGAUAUCAAAGAUUUUAUCGCUUGAAGAUGGACUCGCGUGCG
rnacentral:rRNA from 1 species